AUUGAACGCUGGCGGCGUGCCUAACACAUGCAAGUCGAACGGCAGCACGGCAGUAGCAAUACUGUGGGUGGCGAGUGGCGGACGGGUGAGGAAUACGUCGGAAUCUGCCCAGUCGUGGGGGAUAACUAGCCGAAAGGUUAGCUAAUACCGCAUACGACCGAGAGGUGAAAGCGGGGGACCGCAAGGCCUCGCGCGAUUGGAUGAGCCGACGUCGGAUUAGCUAGUUGGUGGGGUAAAGGCCCACCAAGGCGACGAUCCGUAGCUGGUCUGAGAGGAUGAUCAGCCACACUGGAACUGAGACACGGUCCAGACUCCUACGGGAGGCAGGCAGUGGGGAAUAUUGGACAAUGGGCGCAAGCCUGAUCCAGCAAUGCCGCGUGUGUGAAGAAGGCC
rnacentral:rRNA from 1 species